UACGUAGGGUGCGAGCGUUAUUCGGAAUUACUGGGCGUAAAGCGUGCGCAGGCGGUUUUGUAAGUCAGAUGUGAAAUCCCCGGGCUUAACCUGGGAAUGGCAUUUGGGACUGCAAGGCUGGAGUGCGGCAGAGGAGACUGGAAUUCCUGGUGUAGCAGUGAAAUGCGUAGAUAUCAGGAGGAACACCGAUGGCGAAGGCAGGUCUCUGGGCUGACACUGACGCUCAUGCACGAAAGCGUGGGGAGCAAACAGG
rnacentral:rRNA from 1 species